rnacentral:rRNA from 1 species
AACGAACGCUGGCGGCGUGGAUAAGACAUGCAAGUCGAGCGGGAUUUUCAGGGUAGCAAUAUUCUGGAAGUUCAGCGGCGCAAGGGUGCGUAACACGUGGGUAAUCUGCCGUGAAGCCCGGGAUAACUCGCUGAAAGGCGAGCUAAUACCGGAUGUGACGUCGGGAGGGCAUCUUCCUGACUUUGAAGCUGGGGACCGUAAGGCCUGGCACUUCACGAUGAGCCCGCGGCCUAUCAGCUAGUUGGUGAGGUAACGGCCCACCAAGGCUAAGACGGGUAGCUGGUCUGAGAGGACGACCAGCCACACUGGAACUGAGACACGGUCCAGACACCUACGGGUGGCAGCAGUCGAGAAUUUUUCACAAUGGGCGAAAGCCUGAUGGAGCGACGCCGCGUGGGGGAUGAAUGGCUUCGGCCCGUAAACCCCUGUCAUUUGCGAUCAACCGUUGUUAUUUAAAAGAUGACAACCUGAUAGUAGCGGAAGAGGAAGGGACGGCUAACUCUGUGC